rnacentral:rRNA from 1 species
UUUGAUGGCUUAGAACUAACGCUGGCAGUGCGUCUUAAGCAUGCAAGUCAAACGGGAUGUAGCAAUACAUCUAGUGGCGAACGGGUGAGUAACGCGUGGAUGAUCUACCUACGAGAUGGGGAUAACUAUUAGAAAUAGUAGCUAAUACCGAAUAAAGUCAAUUAAUUUGUUAAUUGAUGAAAGGAAGCCUUUAAAGCUUCGCUUGUAGAUGAGUCUGCGUCUUAUUAGCUAGUUGGUAGGGUAAAUGCCUACCAAGGCGAUGAUAAGUAACCGGCCUGAGAGGGUGAACGGUCACACUGGAACUGAGAUACGGUCCAGACUCCUACGGGAGGCAGCAGCUAAGAAUCUUCCGCAAUGGGCGAAAGCCUGACGGAGCGACACUGCGUGAAUGAAGAAGGUCGAAAGAUUGUAAAAUUCUUUUAUAAAUGAGGAAUAAGCUUUGUAGGAAAUGACAAAGUGAUGACGUUAAUUUAUGAAUAAGCCCCGGCUAAUUACGUGCCAGCAGCCGCGGUAAUACGUAAGGGGCGAGCGUUGUUCGGGAUUAUUGGGCGUAA